UACAGAGGGGGCAAGCGUUAUUCGGAAUUAUUGGGCGUAAAGGGCGCGUAGGCGGCUGUACAAGUCAAAGGUGAAAUCCCUCGGCUCAACUGAGGAACUGCCUUUGAAACUGUACGGCUUGAGGCCGGGAGGGGGUAGCGGAAUUCCCAGUGUAGCGGUGAAAUGCGUAGAUACUGGGAGGAACACCAGUGGCGAAGGCGGCUACCUGGACCGGUUCUGACGCUGAGGCGCGAAAGCGUGGGUAGCAAACAGG
rnacentral:rRNA from 1 species